rnacentral:rRNA from 1 species
CAGCAGCCGCGGGAAUACGAAGGGGGCUAGCGUUGCUCGGAAUGACUGGGCGUAAAGGGCGCGUAGGCGGUCUAUACAGUCAGAUGUGAAAUUCCUGGGCUCAACCUGGGGACUGCAUUUGAUACGUAUGGACUUGAGUGGAGAAGAGGGUCGUGGAAUUUCCAGUGUAGAGGUGAAAUUCGUAGAUAUUGGAAAGAACACCGGUGGCGAAGGCGGCGACCUGGUCUUUAACUGACGCUGAGGCGCGAAAGCGUGGGGAGCAAACAGGAUUAGAUACCCCUGUAGUCCCUGUCUCUUAUAC